CCCCUCUCAGGGUCACACCUGGAGAGUUUCCAGUCCUCUACCAGUCUCGGCUAUGGGAGGGAAUCAAGCAGAGGCCUACCCACUCUAUUUCUAGCUUGGGCAGUGGCUAGCGAGUGGAAGGCCAUCUGCUACAGGU